rnacentral:lncRNA from 1 species
CAGUAAGAAAUCUUGUGAAGAAAGGGAACAUAACUAUUGAGCACAUAGAUACAAAGUCCAAGUUGGCUGAUCCUCAGACUAAGGCUUUGAGGUCCAUAUGCUUUAUAAGGCUUGUUGAAAAUAUAGGUAUAUUGAGUUCUUUUGAUGUACUUGAUUAGUAGGAGUGAUUUUGUAUUUAUAUUUUAUUGAUGUUUUAUUAUUAUGGAUCUUUUUUAUCUU